CGACAGGCUUGCCUUCCUCCGACCGCCGACGGCGCUAGAUGGCAGCUUCAUCUACACCCCGAAGGGCAAGUUUCAGCUGGCGUGGAACGUGACGCUCCCGAGGAAACGGUCGUGUGAGGAGACGAACGGUUUGCUGGAGACCGGCCAGGACACGGCGGUCGUCUGUCUUGAGGCGCGCUCGGAGAGGAGCCGGGGACUCCUUUCGUGACGUCACCGCGCCCCGCCGGGCCUCCGGC